rnacentral:rRNA from 1 species
GACGAACGCUGGCGGCGUGGAUUAGGCAUGCAAGUCGAACGGUAUCAUCCUUUCGGGGGUGAGAGAGUGGCGAACUGGUGAGUAACACGUAGGUUAUCUACCCUCAAGACGGGGACAACCCAGGGAAACUUGGGCUAAUACCGGAUGUGAGCAACUUUUAGUUGUUUGAAAGGUGGCGUAAGCUGUCGCUUGGGGAUGAGCCUGCGUCCUAUUAGUUAGUUGGUGAGGUAACGGCUCACCUAGGCAAUGAUAGGUAGGCGGCCUUAACGGGUGGUCGCCCACACUGGGAUUGAGAUACGGCCCAGACUCCUACGGGAGGCAGCAGUCGAGAAUAGUCUACAAUGGUCGGAAGACUGAUAGUGCGACGCCGCGUGAACGAUGAAUCCCUUCGGGGUGUAAAGUUCUUUUAUAUGUGAGCAGUGCUUCUUGUAUUAACAGUAUGGGGAGAGAGAUAUUAGCAUAUGAAUAAGCAACGGCUAACUCCGUGCCAGCAGCCGCGGU